AGGGUUUGAUCCUGGCUCAGAACGAACGCUGGCGGCGUGCCUAACACACGCAAGUCGAACGAGAAAGGGGCUUCGGCUACGAGUAAAGUGGCGCACGGGUGAGUAACACGUAGGUAACCUGCCUCCAAGAUUGGAAUAACCUGUCGAAAGAUGAGCUAAUACCAAAUAAGACCACGGCUUCCUCGGAAGCAGGGGUCAAAGGUAGCCUCUACUUGUAAGCUAUCACUUAGAGAUGGGCCUGCGUACCAUUAGCUAGUUGGUGGGGUAACGGCCCACCAAGGCAAAGAUGGUUAGCUGGUCUGAGAGGAUGAUCAGCCACACUGGAAAUGAGACUCGGUCCAGACUCCUACGGGAGGCAGCAGUGGGGAAUGUUGCGCAAUGGGCGAAAGCCCGCCGCAGCAACGCCGCGUGAGUGAUGAAGGCCUUCGGGUCGUAAAGCUAAGUCGGAGGGAACGAAUGCUCUUGAGGUUAACAGCCUCGGGAAGUGACGUACCCUCAAAGGAAGCGCU
rnacentral:rRNA from 1 species